CCCUUAGAUGUUCUGGGCUGCACGCGCGCUACACUGAAGCGUUCAACGAGUAUUCACCUUGCCCGAUAGGGUUGGGUAAUCUUUUUAAAAUGCAUCGUGAUGGGGAUAGAUUAUUGCAAUUAUUAAUCUUCAACGAGGAAUUCCUAGUAAGCGCGAGUCAUCAGCUCGUGCUGAUUACGUCCCUGCCCUUUGUACACACCGCCCGUCGCUCCUACCGAUUGAGUGCUCAGGUGAAUAAUUCGGACUGCAGCAAUGUUUGGAUCCCGAACGUUGCAGCGGAAAGUUUAGUGAACCUUAUCACUUAGAGGAAGGAGAAGUCGUAACA
rnacentral:rRNA from 1 species